rnacentral:rRNA from 1 species
UACGGAGGGGGCUAGCGUUGUUCGGAAUUACUGGGCGUAAAGCGCGCGUAGGCGGAUCUGCAAGUCGGGGGUGAAAUCCCGAGGCUCAACCUCGGAACUGCCUUCGAUACUGCGGGUCUCGAGUCCGGGAGAGGUGAGUGGAAUUCCUAGUGUAGAGGUGAAAAUUCGUAGAUAUUAGGAAGACACCAGUGGCGAAGGCGGCUCACUGGCCCGGUACUGACGCUGAGGCGCGAAAGCUAGGGGAGCAACGGGG